UGUGGCUGCUUAAAAAACUGAUUCAACGAGAU
rnacentral:sRNA from 1 species